rnacentral:rRNA from 1 species
UACGAAGGGGGCUAGCGUUGCUCGGAAUUACUGGGCGUAAAGGGCGCGUAGGCGGAUGUUUAAGUCAGAGGUGAAAGCCCAGGGCUCAACCUUGGAAUUGCCUUUGAUACUGGCUGUCUUGAGUUCGGGAGAGGUGAGUGGAAUGCCGAGUGUAGAGGUGAAAUUCGUAGAUAUUCGGCGGAACACCAGUGGCGAAGGCGACUCACUGGCCCGAUACUGACGCUGAGGCGCGAAAGCGUGGGGAGCAAACAGG